UUUUUCCAGAUAUCCCAGAUAUUGUGGACGCCACUACUCCAGCGGUGGUGUCCGUAUCCGGUUUCCGGAGACCUCUAUUCUUCAGGAGGAAGACGCUUGGCACAGGAUUUAUAAUCAGUGAUGACGGUGAUGUAAUCACCAAUGCCCAAGUCGUCCGGGGACCUGCAGAGUGCAGGUGGAGCUUGAAAGUAAACAGAAAUUUGAAGCCACCAUCAAACGUGUGGAUGAGGAGGCCAACAUCGCCCUCAUCCACAUUAAAACAUCUGUGAGAAUAUGAAGCUGCCCAUCCCGCAACUCUGCAGCUCCCCAGCUGUGCGGCCAGGCCAAGCAGUCCUGUCAUUGGGCAACCCUCCCUGCAUUGAUGUCACCAUGGGGAUAGUGAGGGGGAGACGGUCCCUCAGACAAAACAUAUUACAGCACAGGGCCUUCACUACCGUGAGCUCCCACUGUGGUUUGGUCAGUGUGUCUGUGAGGAUCGUUCAGAACUUACUCACUGCAGCUUCUCCCUCUUUUCUUUUAGGAAGAAUUCUCGGGGGGGCCGCUGGUAAAUAUGAUGAGUGAUGUUUAUCUGAGCAGAAGCUGGAUUCUGACAUUCAGAGCAUGACACUGAUUAGUCAUUAAGAAUCGUAAAGGAAACAGGAAACCCUGUCGGUGCAGACGUGUCACUUCCUGUAUGUAUGUGCAGUGAAGGUCAAUCCAAACUGUCAUCUGUACAAUGAAGAUGACUGGGUUCUACUCACUCACUGGUUUAACUAAAUGGGUCCAGGUCAUUUUUUUUUUCAGAACCAAAUUGCUUUUUUAUGUCCUUCUGUAGUUCUGGACUGAAAGACCAGAUUGUUUUAGCGCGCACAUCGUACCUGAUGAAAAUGAAUUUUGGUCACAGUGAACAACCCAUGGUCAUGGAUUGAUGGCCACGUUCAAAUGCACACUGAUGGCAGGGAUUGACCACACACGGAUGUGUGAACGUAAAGCCCACAGAGACUCUGAUCUUAUUCCUGACCCUUCUUCUGUUGCCUAAUAACAUUCUUUUUUCUGUCGUAUGGCUAUGCAGGACGGGGAGGUGAUUGGAGUGAACAAG